UUGAUGUGGAAGGCAAUGCACAGAUAGUGAUGAUUUUUGCAUUUUGUUUUUAGGCACAACAGACCAUAUGGGGAAAUUCUACCACAGAUUUUCAAACAUUACUACAGGCGAAAAAGGAAUUCAUGGUGAAACUGUACUGGGUGAAGUAAUUUAAGAACAUCAAAAUGAAAUAGGGUCAAGUCCACUCGUCCCACGAGUCAAGGGGAGAACUUGGCCUCAGGUAGCAGUGAGCGGCUAGUUAACAAGGGCAGCAAAAAGCCAUCUCUGGUAACUUUAAGACCUGACUCUACUCUCAUUGCAGCUGCAGGCUCUGCACUUGGAUGAUGUUCUGCUGAUCCAGUAUCCGGCGCACCUCCCUGCACGUCUCUUCCAUGGCGCGGCUCAACCU